rnacentral:rRNA from 1 species
UAGGGAAUCUUCGGCAAUGGGGGGAACCCUGACCGAGCAACGCCGCGUGAGUGAAGAAGGUUUUCGGAUCGUAAAGCUCUGUUGUUAAGGAAGAACGAGUGUGAGAAUGGAAAGUUCAUACUGUGACGGUACUUAACCAGAAAGGGACGGCUAACUACGUGCCAGCAGCCGCGGUAAUACGUAGGUCCCGAGCGUUGUCCGGAUUUAUUGGGCGUAAAGCGAGCGCAGGCGGUUAGAUAAGUCUGAAGUUAAAGGCAGUGGCUCAACCAUUGUAGGCGUUGGAGACUGUUUAACUUGAGUGCAGAAGGGGAGAGUGGAAUUCCAUGUGUAGCGGUAAAAUGCGUAGAUAUAUGGAGGAACACCAGUGGCGAAGGCGACGCUCUGGUCUGUAACUGACGAUGAGGCUCGAAAGCGUGGGUAGCAAACAGG